rnacentral:tRNA from 1 species
AGAGGUUUGUAACAGCAAGGAUUGCUAAUCCCUGCCCCCGCGGUUAAAAAACUGCUAUAUAUGGGAGGUCCCACCUGCCCAGUGACAAU